GUGACGCGCCGCUGACUGUAAACAGAUCUGUCAGUCAGCUGACUUGAUGUGCUCCAAUCUGAAUGUAGCCCCACCCAAUCAGGAUGAGGGACCAGCAGGUUGUGAAUAGACCCUCCCAGCUGUCAGAGAACAGAGGUGACCUGACAGAGUGUGAAGGCCUCGUCUCACUCCCCACACUGCGAGGGCUGUCUUCUUCCCCGGAUGGGAGGAUGGAUGGAUGGACGGAUGGAUGGAUUCUGGACACAGCAGAAGCUUGUUUAUCUGUUGAUGCAACCCCCUCCCCCUCCAAAAAGAUGCUUUAGAGGAAACAAAGAAAUGCAGCAUUAAUGGAUGAACCCGAUCCAUGCGGUCUGUUUUCAUGGUGUUAAUGGAGCGCUGACCCGACCCCCGCGCACUCACACUCACCUGUGGACUCACCUGUACGCAGCAGAGCGGCCAUUACUGCUCCGGCUCCGUCUGCCAUGUUUUAUUCAAACACCAACACCUCUUUCCUACAGAAGCCCCAUACCCACGAAAACGAGCGGUUGGUAUCGAGCUGACGUCAGCAUUAGUGAACCGGCCCCUCCAGGAAGAAUCUGUUCUGCAAGCUCCGCCCCCAGAAUACAAGGAACACACACCCACUUUCUCCGCAGAGCAUUAGGUGAUCAUCAGCAAAGCGUUGUAAUCUGAGACGAAGAGGCUCAUCUUGAAUGUAAUCUGCAGAGAAAACUACUAUGUCUGGAUGAUGUCGUGAAAUGGGCGGGACCAACAAGGAGCCAAAGGCGGAGCCUCAGAGAUCGAGUUCUUUUACUUCUGUGUAUUAAAACGGUCCACAAAAAUGACUCAUAUUUCAUAAAUAGUUUGUUUUUUAGUGUCCUGAAGGUAAUAUAUGAUCAUAGAUAUGGAUAUAGUUCACCCUGAAAGUCAUAAUGUGGCCCCUUUAACAGAACUUUUUCAAACAUUUUUCUGCACCAACAGCCUGACCAGCUUCUCCUGGAGGUUCCAAGGUCAAAGAAGGAGCACAGAAGGGAGCAAACUUUUAAUUUUUACUGUUCUAUAUUUUACUAUUUAGUUUAACUUUUUUUAACCUUUUAAUUGUUUGACCAUGUUCUUGUUAAUAGAUAAAUAAAGGUGAUUUGAUUUGUGGAGCUGAGCUGUAGGAUGAAAGAAGUUGAACGUUUUUAAUUGUUUCCCUGCCCUGGGAUUGUUCAUGAAAACAUUUCUCCAGCAUCAGAUUGAUUCCCAGCAGCAGUUACUCUUUGAUACCAUGUGAGAUUAGCUCAUCAAUUUCUUCAGUAUUGCCAAACUCCAGCAGAUCCCUCAACAUUACGAUAUACUGUAACAUGGUUUCCUCAUCCUGUUCGGUAAAGUCUGGAU